UACGGAGGGUCCAAGCGUUAUCCGGAAUCAUUGGGUUUAAAGGGUCCGCAGGCGGACAAUUAAGUCAGAGGUGAAAUCCCAUAGCUCAACUAUGGAACUGCCUUUGAUACUGGUUGUCUUGAGUUAUACGGAAGUAGAUAGAAUAUGUGGUGUAGCGGUGAAAUGCAUAGAUAUCACAUAGAAUACCGAUUGCGAAGGCAGUCUACUACGUAUAUACUGACGCUCAUGGACGAAAGCGUGGGGAGCGAACAGG
rnacentral:rRNA from 1 species